UGAGGAAUCUUCCACAAUGGGCGAAAGCCUGAUGGAGCAAUACCGCGUGCAGGAUGAAGGCCUUAGGGUCGUAAACUGCUUUUAUUAGAGAAGAAUAUGACGGUAACUAAUGAAUAAGGGUCGGCUAACUACGUGCCAGCAGCCGCGGUCAUACGUAGGACCCAAGCGUUAUCCGGAGUGACUGGGCGUAAAGAGUUGCGUAGGCGGCGCAUCAAGCGAGUAAUGAAAACUGGGGGCUCAACCUCCAGCCUAUUAUUCGAACUGAUGUGCUCGAGAAUGGUAGAGGUUAUUGGAAUUUCUAGUGUAGGAGUGAAAUCCGUAGAUAUUAGAAGGAACACCGAUGGCGUAGGCAGAUAACUGGACCAUUUCUGACGCUAAGGCACGAAAGCGUGGGGAGCGAACGGGAUUAGAUACCCCGGUAGUCCACGCCGUAAACGAUGAAUGUUAACUGUCGGGGGUAUCGACCCCUUCGGUAGUAAAGCUAACGCGUUAAACAUUCCGCCUGUGGAGUACGGCCGCAAGGCUAAAACAUAAAGGAAUUGACGGGGACCCGCACAAGCGGUGGAGCGUGUUCUUUAAUUCGAGGCUAAACGAAGAACCUUACCCAGGCUUGACAUCCCGAGAAUUUCUCCGAAAGGAGAGAGUGCUUUAUUGAACUCGGUGACAGAUCUUGCAUGGCCGUCGUCAGCUCGUGUCGUGAGAUGUUUGGUUAAGUCCAUCAACGAGCGCAACCCUUAUCGUUAGUUGUAUUUUUCUAGCGAGACUGCCCCGGUAACGGGGAGGAAGGAGGGGAUGAUGUCAGGUCAGUAUUAGUCUUACGUCUGGGGCUAGAAACGCGCUACAAUGGCCGGUACAACGGGCAGCGAAACAGUAAUGUGAAGCAAAUCCCACCAAAACCGGUCCCAGUUCGGAUUGAGGGCUGAAACUCGCCCUCAUGAAGUCGGAAUCGCUAGUAAUCGCAGAUCAGCACGCUGCGGUGAAUACGUUCCCGGGUCUUGUACACACCGCCCGUCAAAC
rnacentral:rRNA from 1 species